UUGAGUUUCGAUUUCUGGAGCUCACAAGCCAACGGAGAGUUGCUAGACUAGCCGAUUAGAGGACCACGAAAACUUGGAUGUUUUGCUGUCCAAUCGAGUAUUCGAUUCUGUAUUUGAGUAUGUGCAGUCAGAGUACAAACUUCUGCAGUAUAGUAAACAGCAUCUUCAUCUGGUAGAGCCUGUGCAAAAGGUUCUAGGUAGUAACAGCCAGGGUGGUGAAGAUACCUUUCAGUAGCCUAUAUACCAAUAACUGAUGUUCUAAAGACCCAUUUGGAGAAACAGGAUAUUUUUGAGUCAUUCCAAAGGACCUGUGAGAGAGCCCCAAAUACUUUUCUUUUAAAUUACUUCACUGAUGGGGAGAUUUUUCAAGGAAGUCCUUUUUAUGGCUAUAUAAAGUAUAUAAUAUAAAAAUAUAUAUUAUAUAAAGUAUAUAAUAUAAAAAUAUAUAUUCUAGUAUUGUGAGAUUGCAUCUCUACACUGAUGAAUUUGAAGUUGUAAACACUUUAGGCUCCAAAAAAUCAAUUCACAAGCUAACAGCAUUUUAUUUUACAAUUGGCAAUCUUGAAUCAAAUUUUAAAUCACAAUUGAGGUUCAUACACCUCUGCAUACUGGUGAAGCACAAAUUACUCCAAAAAUAUUCAUAUAGAGACAUUUUACAACCCCUUAUCGAUGAUCUUAAGACUUUAUACACUGAUGGGCUCUGGAUCUCCUUGAAUCAGCAACAUAUAAAUUUAAAGAGCGCUCUAGCUACUGUUUCAGCAGAUAAUUUAUCAGCGCAUAGCUUGGCAGGAUUCACCUGCUGUUUUAGCAGUGGACGUGUGUGCAGAUUUUGCAUGGUCACUUAUGUGCUUGAAGUCCCAUGUGAAUGAAGACAAACUUAUAAUCCGAUCCGCUCAGGUGCACAAGUACCAUCUGGAAGCACUCAAGGAGAGUAGUGAGGUUUCUAAACAGACAUAUGGUGUGGUCAGCAAAUGUCCAUUUAGUGAGCUGGACUACUUUGAUGUUACAAGAGCAUUUCCACCUGACUUGAUGCAUGAUUUCUUGGAGGGCAUUGUACCUGUUGUGAUUUGUCACCAAGGCAUUACAUUCCAAGCAUAUCAUCUCACUGAUCGACAUCAAUGCUGAGUUAGAUGCUUUGAAAAUAGGAAGGAACGACAGGAGCAACAUCCCACAGCAGUUAUCUCAAAGUGUCUUAAAACAGACCAGACUACAAGGGUCUGCAGCACAGAAUUGGUGCCUCUUCAGGAUUUUGCCAUUUCUUAUAGGACAUUAUAUCCCACAAGGUGAGGUCCACUGGGAUAUUUACCUGAAGUGUCGAGAGAUAGGCGAAGUAAUAUUUUCCCCCUCCAUAAGGAAGGGGGUAAUCCCUCUUCUCUGUCAACAAAUAGGUGAAUUCCUUUCUGAUUUCCAGUCUGCAUUCCCCGAGACUUUCACCCCCAUAUCUUAUCCACUCUUUUUAGACAAGAACCCCCUGUGUCUUAUAUGACCCAACCAUGGCCAGCAGUAUUCAGUCUGCCCACCUUCCCUCCUGAACUGCAAGCUGCUCUCCAGAGGAAAGAUCCUGCCUUUAAAAAGAAGGACAAAUCACAUAUACGGGCAUUAUUGAUUCAAGUGCUGUUUGAUAAUGUCACUAAACACACUUGGUAUCCCAGUCACAAAAUGUAUGGAGAUGUCCUGGGGAGUUUGAUUACAAAAUGUCCAUUCUUAAGAGAUGGCAGUUCAUCUGGACAUGAGACAUUGUUAGAGUGCUUCCGUAACAAAUUCAAGAAGGAAAGGAUUCCACUUGUGCACAACUCCACAGUCCUCCAAAUGAAAAAAAAAUGGCAAAAAGGAGAGAAGAAUUACUGGAUUAUUCAGCAUCACACAGUCACUCCAGUUCCUCGCUUGAGGUUUUAGAGCUGGAAGCAGUUGGAGAGGAUGACACCAGUUAUCAAGAGCACCUGAAUUUCAUCUUAAGGGAGUUGGCCAAGAAGCAACCAAAUUUGGCAGAAAUUAAAAUCAGGAUGAGGAGGACGCAUUGAAGCAAUGACUCUCCCAACAAAGAAAGUCAUGGAGAUUUUUCCAUUUCUUGGCAUCCCACAGCUAAUGCAUCAUGAAAUGCAAAUGAAAUUUGGGAUAGACAUGGACAGGAGCUUGCAAACUGCAAUACACGAGUUGGCCCCAAGAAUCAUCAGGGUGGUGAAGGAGGGCAGCCAGAAAAGGUUUUCACCCUCCCUCCUUGAGCCAACAAAUGAGAGAUUAGAAAAUGCUGCACUGCUGUUGUUGCCGGAACUCUUCAAGGAGAAAACAGAUACAUAGAUACUUUAUACCGUGUUGAAGAUGAAGUCCACCCCUGCCCAACUGUCGUUUUCCAUGGCUCCCUCAAUGUGCUCAAGGCAGACACCAUCAGCAUCAGGCUUGAUGGACUAACAUUAACCACUGGGAAAAUGACCAUAGCCAUAGACCAUAGCCAUAGCACUCGAGUACCUCUUCAGCACUUAUUUCCUGUUCAAUGCAUCAUAUCCCGCCCCUCUUGUAAAUACUUUAACAUUCAUUCAGAUAUUUUUAUUCUAACACUGUCCUAACAAGAAAAAAAUCCCCAUCCCUGUUCUUAAAAUGUACAACCAUUUUAUGUCAUUUGAUUAAAUAUCCCCUUUAUUCCCUCGAUAAAUUAUAUAUUUCUAUCUUUCUUUCUUUUUUCUUAUACUGUAGCUUGUUACAAUAAACACAUUUGUUACUUCUUAAAACCUUUGUCUUGUUUCAUCAUUUUCAUGGC